rnacentral:lncRNA from 1 species
AUAAAUACUUUUCUCUUUAACAAAGGAAACUAGAACAUACAUUAUCCCUCAAAGGAAUCCUGUGUGGAGAUGUUUGCUGAGCUUUCACUCUCUUAUUCCUGUCAGCCCUGGGCCACCAUGGGAGAUGUCCUCUGAUAUAGGAACACAGUAGGGGCAGGAGUCUAGGGUAAGUCUCCUGAAGGAGCAUGAUAGGUGUCUGCCAUUAGGGAAGAAUCAUGGUGUUGUUCAAAGGGAUCCCUGGGAUGAAGUAGCAAUAGGCUGGCCUCAUUUAUACCCUGGCCUCUCUGUUCAAUACCUUCAUGUAUAAUUUCAUACUAGACGCCUCAAAGGCAUAAUUUAUCCUCUCUUUGUAUUUUCUCCAACACCUAAAUGAUCCAUAGCAGGCUGUGGAGAUAAGGAAAUAGUCCCACUCAUCUGUCUGCAAAAUAUGAGUCUCUUAUCUAGCAUCUCCCACCGUGCAUUAAAAAAAAUUACUUUGAUUGUUGUGCCCAAGAUUGCGAAUCCAAGAAACCACCAAGGAGCUGACACCGAUGCAAAUACACGAGGGUUUAUUUACAAGCUCGAGCUUGGGUCCAAGUGUACCCCACACAGCAGAGCAGGGACUUGGACCCCGAGGUGGGUUUCAGCUUAGUUUUUAUAGGCUGGUGAGGGGAUCUUCAGAAGGGGUGGAGGAAUUUCUCAAGUUCUGUUUACAUUUUGAUAUGGGGCUUUCAAGGGCAUUGAGCUCUGUUCUUAUUCUAAUAGGGGCUUCCUGCCCUUGGCUUGGGCUCUCUUCUUAUUCUAAUAGGGGCUUCCUGCCCUUGGCUUGGGCUCUGUUCUCAUUCUAAUAGGGGCUUUCUAGGACGUUAAGCUGUAAGCUGUUUUCUUCCUGUAACUGAAGUAAGGUAAAGUUCAGCUCUUAUUCACAGGGGCCUGGGAUGGCUGUACUUGUGCUAACGCUGAACUUAAAGUGGAAUGGCCUUAAUUUUCUCGACCUCCACAUUGAUGUUAGUCCUCGGGGAGGGCCCCAAGUGCAUCACAUACUGGUUGUCUCAGGGCAGAAUAGUACAUGGUGAGGCUGGGGAUGUUGAGAAAUGAAGCUUUAUUAGAGAAUUAGAGAAAUGUCCCAAAGCAGAGAAGUCAUCCAAAACACUCCCAUUCACAUACCCCCCCCCCCUUAGCUUUAUCUCCAAAUUCUAUAAUACAGGAUUAUUUCUUUUCUUAUAACCUAACUACAUGUGAUGUGCCAGGAACUGGGCUGAAUUCUUGACUUAAAUAAUCCCAUAGAAACCUGUAAAGGAGGUAAUAAUUACCCUCUACUAGAGAGAAAAGCUAAGACCUGCUAGUCAGGGGCUUACUGGUGGUGAUGGCUCAGAGGGAAUGCAGGCAGAAGUAGUUAGCCUCCACCCUCCACUGUCCUUAACUUGUCAAGCUUUUGUGCUCUUGUGAUGAUGAGCUUUGAAUUGCCCUCCUCCAGGGGCCCUCAUUCAGAUUCAGUUCUCCUCCACUGUAGAUGGCUGAAACCCCCCUGCCCCCAGGAAGCCUUCCUGGAGUCUAGUCAGAAACAUUUCUGUCUUCUUUUGGAAGAGGCUGGUCGAAUGUGCUGUGCCCUCUCUCCCCUGCUGGUUACUAUGAAUUGAAAGGCAGAGCUCUCUG